AUUGAACGCUGGCGGCAGGCCUAACACAUGCAAGUCGAGCGGAUGACAGGAGCUUGCUCCUGGAUUCAGCGGCGGACGGGUGAGUAAUGCCUAGGAAUCUGCCUGGUAGUGGGGGACAACGUUUCGAAAGGAACGCUAAUACCGCAUACGUCCUACGGGAGAAAGCAGGGGACCUUCGGGCCUUGCGCUAUCAGAUGAGCCUAGGUCGGAUUAGCUAGUUGGUGAGGUAAUGGCUCACCAAGGCGACGAUCCGUAACUGGUCUGAGAGGAUGAUCAGGCACACUGGAACUGAGACACGGUCCAGACUCCUACGGGAGGCAGCAGUGGGGAAUAUUGGACAAUGGGCGAAAGCCUGAUCCAGUCAUGCCGCGUGUGAAGAAGGUCUUCGGAUUGUAAAGCACUUUAAGUUGGGAGGAAGGGUUGUAGAUUAAUACUCUGCAAUUUUGACGUUACCGACAGAAUAAGCACCGGCUAACUCUGUGCCAGCAGCCGCCGCCGUAA
rnacentral:rRNA from 1 species